rnacentral:rRNA from 1 species
UCCGUAGGUGAACCUGCGGAAGGAUCAUUACCGAGUGAGGGCCCUCUGGGUCCAACCUCCCACCCGUGUUUAUCGUACCUUGUUGCUUCGGCGGGCCCGCCUCACGGCCGCCGGGGGGCAUCUGCCCCCGGGCCCGCGCCCGCCGAAGACACACAAACGAACUCUUGUCUGAAGAUUGCAGUCUGAGUACUUGACUAAAUCAGUUAAAACUUUCAACAACGGAUCUCUUGGUUCCGGCAUCGAUGAAGAACGCAGCGAAAUGCGAUAAGUAAUGUGAAUUGCAGAAUUCAGUGAAUCAUCGAGUCUUUGAACGCACAUUGCGCCCCCUGGUAUUCCGGGGGGCAUGCCUGUCCGAGCGUCAUUGCUGCCCUCAAGCACGGCUUGUGUGUUGGGCUCUCGCCCCCCGCUUCCGGGGGGCGGGCCCGAAAGGCAGCGGCGGCACCGCGUCCGGUCCUCGAGCGUAUGGGGCUUCGUCACCCGCUCUGUAGGCCCGGCCGGCGCCCGCCGGCGAACACCAUCAAUCUUAACCAGGUUGACCUCGGAUCAGGUAGGGAUACCCGCUGAACUUAAGCAUAUCAAUAAGCGGAGGA